rnacentral:lncRNA from 1 species
CUCUUAUUAUGUUGCAUGUAUUGAGUAGUGAUGCCUUUUGUAGUGUUGUAUGUCUUGGGAUUGUAAAUCUAGUAAAAUCCAUCCUAAAGUUCAUAACUGCUAUAUUGAUAGUUGUCUUAUUAUAAGAGAAAGUUCAACCAUACAAGCAUUUAUAUGCAGUAGACACAAAAAAACAGGUCACUUUAUUCAUACACUGAACAAGCGUUUUCAGCGGUCCUCACCGCCGCCAUCGGGUUACAACUUGGGGGAACCAAUAGAGCAUGGAGUGGAAUACAUAGAAUCGGGCUUGAAUUGCAAAUUCAAACUGAAGGAAUUUAGUUUGAAAAAGUAGAG